AAAUGAUAUGUUGACUGCGUCAACAUGAUAUAUUCUGCUUUCAGCAGAAUAUGAUAUAUUGAGCCUGCGGCUCAAUGUGAUAUUUUCG
rnacentral:misc_RNA from 1 species